rnacentral:tRNA from 2 species
GGCGGAUGUAGCCAAGUGGAUCAAGGCAGUGGGUUGUGAAUCCACCAUGCGCGGGUUCAAUUCCCGUCGUUCGC